AGGCCUCUGUCGUCCGUACCUUCGCCGUCAGUCUGGUCCACGCGGUGAGACCUGGUGGGUCAGCGAAAGGUUGCGGAAGAGUAUCGCUCUUCGUUUCUUGUGUCGUUGUGCAACAAGUGAAAUAUUUCAAAAUUGCGCUAAUAAGCCAACAAGAAGACACUAGGAUGGCGGACUAUUUGAUCUGCGGAGGAACGAGUUACGUUCCAGAAGACGGGAAUACCGGUGCUCAACUCUUCUCCACGGGGGAAGGUCUCACUUACCAUGACUUCAUCAUUCUCCCUGGCUUCAUUGAUUUCACAGCUGAGGAAGUGGACUUGACCUCAGCUCUCACAAAAAAGAUCAGUUUGAAAGCUCCUCUGGUAUGAAGGGGGUACCUGU
rnacentral:lncRNA from 1 species